UUUGUUUGUUUGAUUUUUCAAGACAGGGUUCUCUGUGUAACAGCCUUGGCUGACUGUCCUGGAACUCGCUCUGUAGACUGGGCUGGCCUCAAACUUGAGCUCAGAGAUCCAUCUGCCUC
rnacentral:miRNA from 1 species